ACACGGCUUGCUCAGUUGGUGGAGCAUGAGACUCUUGAUCUCAGGAUCAUGAGUUUGAGCCCCAUGCUGGGUG
rnacentral:tRNA from 1 species